AUGGCCGCCGAGCGAGAGCCGAACCCCUCCGUCCUCGACGCCGUCGCCUCCCUCCAGACCUACUCGACCGCCCUCUCCGCCUUCACUUCCGCAUGGCGCUCCUUCUAUUCCGAUGCCACCACAAUCGACUCCACCCUCGCCUCCCGCCUCGAAGGCUUCUCCCAGCUCGAGCUGCUCUGCUCCGGGAUGGACGGGCCAGGCCUCCGCGCGUACCUCGCCGAGCACAGGGACGAGCUCCGGGACCCCGCUCGCUCACUCGAUGCCGCCCUGCUGGUGGCCCCCGACCCGGGGCUCCUGGUGCUCGCCGCGGCCGCGGGGUUCUGCCGCUCGCCUCCGACCAAUGGCAAGGCGGACGGUGAAUCCAAGGUGUCCUGCCGCCUGCUCAUCGACCUCCUCGACCGGAUUCGCGCGCUCGGCGUGAAGCCGUCGCCGGAGGCGCGAGAGGAGGCCAGGGCUGUCGCGGCGGACUGGAAGCGGAGCAAGCGGAUCGAGGAGCAGUCGCUGUUUAAGAAUGAGACGAUCGCCUUUCUGCUUCUCGUCGGGGUAUUUGGUUUGGUGGAGGAUGUUGGUGGCGCCGCCCAGGUGCUCGAUCUGGUCGUGUCAAUCUCGAGCCGGGAGCGCGCCGUGGAGAUCUUCCUCGGCCUUGGCCUCGACCUCGACAAGCAUCUACCAGUUCUCACUCAGGCAAUGAUAAACAAAGGCAAACAGCUCGAUGCAGUCAAAUUUAUCCAAGCUCUUAAUUUAGUGCACAAAUAUCCUUUAUUGCCUAUUCUUAGGUCAUAUGUGAAUGAUGCAAAAAAUGCUGGGAACAUGAUCCGCAUCAGGGGAGACGGUCCUGCCUCUCAGGAUGCAGGUGAUGCAAAAGAGCGGACAUUGCUCGGAGCAUUGCAGAAGUUCAUUAAAGAACACAAACUAGAAGAGCUGCCUAUUUUGGAAGAAGCUAACAACAGAAUGACACUAUUGGAUCUGCAAAGUGCAGAGAGAAAGCGAGCAGCCAAUGCUGCUGCUGCAGCUGCUCGUGAAGUAAGUAAGAACAUUCUGGACUCCAGGAAGAGACCACAGCUUCCAGAGAGUGCCGUACAAGGUUCCUUAGGCCAGAACACCCGCCCGGUAGGAACAUGGAGUCAGGAGCUCAUGUUAAGGCAGAGCCUCCCUACAGCUAGAGUUGCAAAUAAGUACCAAGCUGUUUCUAGCCAUAACAUAGUUCCAGCUACCGCUCAUGAUCCAUUGCUUUCUGUUGGGAACCAGCGUCCCAUUGGCAUCCAGAAUGAGACCCUGGCUGCUUCAUCUGUUCAGACUCAGUACAAUGGCGGCGUGGCAGACUUCUAUAAUUUGGCGUCGAUCAGAUCAGGUGGUUUGAGUGUUCCAGGUGCCAGCGCAUCAUCAAGGUCAAAGCUCUAUUCUGAAGACCCCCUUGCCGACGGCAUAUGUUGUUUCAAUGUGCAAACGCCAAGGAGCUGUGUAACUGAUUGGUACUCAGAUCACGCCAUCAUCAUCGAUGGAAGCAAUGGCUAUGCGAGAUGGGCUAGUUUUUGCUAA
rnacentral:rRNA from 1 species